rnacentral:miRNA from 1 species
UUUGACACGGAGCCGACUGAGUU